UCGGGAAUUUUGGGCAAUGGGCGAAAGCCUGACCCAGCAACGCCGCGUGCAGGAUGACGGUCCUAUGGAUUGUAAACUGCUUUUGUACAGGAAGAAACAGUUCUACGUGUAGAACCUUGACGGUACUGUAAGAAUAAGGAUCGGCUAACUCCGUGCCAGCAGCCGCGGUAAUACGGAGGAUCCAAGCGUUAUCCGGAAUCAUUGGGUUUAAAGGGUCCGUAGGCGGUUAGAUAAGUCAGUGGUGAAAGCCCAUCGCUCAACGGUGGAACGGCCAUUGAUACUGUCUGACUUGAAUUAUUAGGAAGUAACUAGAAUAUGUAGUGUAGCGGUGAAAUGCUUAGAGAUUACAUGGAAUACCAAUUGCGAAGGCAGGUUACUACUAAUGGAUUGACGCUGAUGGACGAAAGCGUGGGUAGCGAACAGGAUUAGAUACCCCCGUAGUCCCUGAGCGGGCUGGCAAGGCGCAU
rnacentral:rRNA from 1 species